rnacentral:rRNA from 1 species
CAUAUCAAUAAGCGGAGGAAAAGAAACCAACAGGGAUUACCUCAGUAACGGCGAGUGAAGCGGUAACAGCUCAAAUUUGAAAUCUGGUCCCCUCUGGGGGCCCGAGUUGUAAUUUGAAGAGGAUGCUUUUGGCGAGGCGCCUUCCGAGUGCCCUGGAACGGGACGCCACAGAGGGUGAGAGCCCCGUAUGGUAGGACGCCGAGCCUCUGUAAAGCUCCUUCGACGAGUCGAGUAGUUUGGGAAUGCUGCUCAAAAUGGGAGGUAAACCCCUUCUAAAGCUAAAUAUUGGCCAGAGACCGAUAGCGCACAAGUAGAGUGAUCGAAAGAUGAAAAGCACUUUGAAAAGAGAGUUAAACAGCACGUGAAAUUGUUGAAAGGGAAGCGCUUGCGACCAGACUUGCGCCCGUCGGAUCAACCGUCCCUCGUGGGCGGCGCACUCCGGCGGGCUCAGGCCAGCAUCAGUUUUCCCGGGGGGAGAAAGGCGGUGGGAAUGUGGCUCUUCGGAGUGUUAUAGCCCUCCGCGUAAUGCCCCCGGGGGGACUGAGGACCGCGCGUAAGCAAGGAUGCUGGCGUAAUGGUCGUCAGCGACCCGUCUUGAAACACGGACCAAGGAGUCGUCCUAAUAUGCGAGUGUACGGGUGUAAAACCCCUGCGCGUAAUGAAAGUGAACGGAGGUGAGAGCUUCGGCGCAUCAUCGACCGAUCCUGAUGUUCUCGGAUGGAUUUGAGUAAGAGCAUAUUGGGCCGGACCCGAAAGAAGGUGAACUAUGCCUGUAUAGGGUGAAGCCAGAGGAAACUCUGGUGGAGGCUCGCAGCGGUUCUGACGUGCAAAUCGAUCGUCAAAUAUGGGCAUGGGGGGCGAAAGACUAAUCGAACCUUCUAGUAGCUGGUUUCCGCCGA